rnacentral:rRNA from 1 species
CAGUCGAACGAUGAAGUCCUAGCUUGCUAGGAUGGAUUAGUGGCGCACGGGUGACUUUAUAUAGUUAAUCUGCCCUACACAGAGGAACAACAGUUGGAAACGGCUGCUAAUACCUCAUACUCCUAUUUAACAUAAGUUAAAUAGGGAAAGUCUUUUCGGUGUAGGAUGAGACUAUAUCGUAUCAGCUAGUUGGUAAGGUAAUGGCUUACCAAGGCUAUGACGCGUAACUGGUCUGAGAGGAUGAUCAGUCACAUUGGAACUGAGACACGGUCCAAACUCCUACGGGAGGCAGCAGUAAGGAAUAUUGCGCAAUGGGGGAAACCCUGACGCAGCAACGCCGCGUGGAGGAUGACACUUUUCGGAGCGUAAACUCCUUUUAUCAGGAAAGAAUAAUGACGGUACCUGAUGAAUAAGCACCGGCUAACUCCGUGCCAGCAGCCGCGGUAAUACGGGGGGUGCAAGCGUUACUCGGAAUCACUGGGCGUAAAGGACGCGUAGGCGGAUUAUCAAGUCUUUUGUGAAAUCUAGUGGCUUAACCACUAAACUGCUUAGGAAACUGAUAGUCUAGAGUAGGGGAGAGGUAGAUGGAAUUCUUGGUGUAGGGGUAAAAUCCGUAGAGAUCAAGAAGAAUACCCAUUGCGAAAGCGAUCUGCUGGAACCUAACUGACGCUGAGGCGUGAAAGCGUGGGUAGCAAACAGGAUUAGAUACCCUGGUAGUCCACGCCCUAAACGAUGUAUACUAGUUGUUGCUUUGCUAG